UGCCCUAUAGCUCAAUUGGCAGAGCGCCUGACUCUGGAUCAGGAGGUUCAAGGUUCGAAUCCUUGUAGGGCAA
rnacentral:tRNA from 1 species